UACGGUGAAUACGUUCCCGGACCUUGUACACACCGCCCGUCAAGCCAUGGAAGCUGGGUGUACCUAAAGUCGGUAACCGCAAGGAGCCGCUAGGUAAACUAGUAACUGGGGCU
rnacentral:rRNA from 1 species